UUUUUACAUAUGGAUAUGAAAAGAAUCUCAAAGAUCUCAAAACUCACAUUCCUAAAAGAUGUCAAUGCCUUCUCAUGGCUGCUACCUCAAGCUUGAAGAAGCUUUAUCUACACAAUCCCUAUAUUCUUACUUUAGCAGAAGUUGGUGAUGGAAAGGACGAAAUUGUCCCCAAAAAUGUUCAGCAAUUUUGGUUUGGUAUAAAAUCUGCUGUGUUAAAUGCUGAAUUGCCUGUGAAUUGACGUCUACAUAUUCUUGAGGGUUUUGGUUCUUAAAUGAAUAAAGAAAACAAAUUUCCUGGGCGGGAAAGAAGCAGACAUACUUGCUGGUAAGAUGAGUAUGGUACAGUUGCAAGGGCGGGACCAGUUGCUGACAGCACAAAAUGAAAUGCUCAAGGUACUCUACUCUACUGCUUCAUCAUAUAUGUCUGCAAGUUUGGUUGGCAGUUUCCCUUAUUACAGAUGCGUUGGCUGCAUCUGGUCAGGCGUUGAUUGCUAGUUCGGUUUCAAAAGGGAAUUAUAGAUCUGUGAAGGAUAUCACAUACUUCGUGUUGACUAUUGGUUUUGUGAUGGGUGUUACUUUGGCUGCAAUAUUGGGAGUUUCAUUUGGUUCCAUAGUCACACUGUUCACUAAGGACAUUGGAGUAUUGGCGAUUGCUAGAACCGGGGUUUUGUUUGUGAGUGCUAGUCAGCCUUUGAAUGCUUUUGCUUUUAUUGUUGAUGGUUUGCAUUAUGGAGUUUCAGACUUCCCGUAUGCUGCUUAUUCCAUGGUAUGCUUUUUUUUAGACAUGAAUAUAAAAUUACAUAUUUGCCCUUGGAUUAAUAUGUUUUCACUGUAGAUGCUUGUUGGGAUUUUAUCGUCUGUAAUUGCAACUUGUUAUGAGAUGGCCAAAACCAUUGCAUUUUGCAAUAGUUGAUGAACUUGAUUAUGUCCUAAUUGAUGAGGGAAGAAACCCAUUGCUGAUAAGGGGUGAGGCUAGCAAGGAUGCUGCACGUAACACAGUUGCUGCUAAAGUAGCUGAGCUUCUCAUGCGUGGCCUCGUAUUUUACUUUUUUGCCCUUCUUUUUCCUUUUUGAUGUCUUGUUAUCCAUCUCCAUUGUAUGCGUAUCUCAUUGUUUGUUCCACUACACAUCAUGUAAAUUUAUAUAUUGUAACAAAUAGAAUUGUAAGACAUUAAAUUUUAUGAAAUGGAUUAUAUUUUUUGUA